UUAAUUGUAACACUAACUUUAUUUAAGUCAACAUAUCCAAAGUAUUAUCAUUUCAAUGUGUAAACUAUAUAAAAAUUAUUAAUGAGAUAUUAUAAUCUUUUCUUCAUACUAAGUCUGAAGUUGGUGUGCAUUUUCAGUUUCAGUGCAUCUCAUUUUGGCCUAACCACAUUUUAAGAGCUCAGUAGCCUCAUGUGACUAGUGGCUACUGUGUUGGACAGCAUAGCGUUAGAUAAUUCUCCAAGCUGAAGAGAGAGGUCAAAUAAGAGAGCGACAGUGGCUCCAAGAUACAGCUGGGGUGCCAGGGUGGGGGGUCGGCGAGGAGUCACAAUGACUCAUAGAAUGUCCAGGGAGUUUUGGGGAUCUGAGAGCACAGGAACCUGUGCUCACGUCUCAGGUGGGGCCAGGGUGAACAGGGGAGGGUAGAAGUGGCAACUAGAUGCGUCUAGGACAGCGCCCCACGUCUGCCACAUCCCCCCAAGUCUCCAGAGUGGCACAGGGGAACAUCCAACAGUUCCCCAGUCCCUAAGAGGAGUGAGGACGUGGCUCAGGAAGAAUCGUCACCAUCAGAAUAGGCCGCUGCAAGUGCAGGACUGAUGAUCCGAGUCGAUGGGAAUGUGGACACAGCAGUGAACGCCAGCCUAGAGGGGCGCUGAUGGCCAAAGACCUGACGCUUCACAUCAUGUCUCCUAAACUUCAGUGCCACUCUGGGGAGAUGAGAGGGAAAGGAGAAGUUCUGAAUUCAUAGUUUACCUGAAAUGAUGAAAAAACCCAGAGGUUUGUUUUGGGAGCUUUAUCCCUCUUGCCUCCUUGAUUAUGGGCUGAGCUCAGUCAUCGCUUCUAAAGAAUAGAGCAUGGGAAAGGGAAGCCCUACUGUAAGCCACGAAGAAGCAAAAACUACCACAAUCGACAAAUGUAGCAUGAUUACGGCAACCUCAACACUACUCAUUCACCUGUGCUUGAAAAGAAUUGCUAGUUCACAAAAUCAAUUUACUGGUAAUUCUUCUAGCUAAAUCAGGGUUAUCAUUCAGAUAUUAGACUUUUAAUAGCAGCUUUUGUCCAAAACAUAAG
rnacentral:lncRNA from 1 species